GAGUUUGUAUCAUGGCUCAGAUUGAACGCUGGCGGCAGGCCUAACACAUGCAAGUCGAGCGGUAGAGAGAAGCUUGCUUCUCUUGAGAGCGGCGGACGGGUGAGUAAUGCCUAGGAAUCUGCCUGGUAGUGGGGGAUAACGCUCGGAAACGGACGCUAAUACCGCAUACGUCCUACGGGAGAAAGCAGGGGACCUUCGGGCCUUGCGCUAUCAGAUGAGCCUAGGUCGGAUUAGCUAGUUGGUGAGGUAAUGGCUCACCAAGGCGACGAUCCGUAACUGGUCUGAGAGGAUGAUCAGUCACACUGGAACUGAGACACGGUCCAGACUCCUACGGGAGGCAGCAGUGGGGGAAUAUUGGACAAUGGGCGAAAGCCUGAUCCAGCCAUGCCGCGUGUGUGAAGAAGGUCUUCGGAUUGUAAAGCACUUUAAGUUGGGAGGAAGGGCAGUAAAUUAAUACUUUGCUGUUUUGACGUUACCGACAGAAUAAGCACCGGCUAACUCUGUGCCAG
rnacentral:rRNA from 1 species